UGCGGCCACACGUAUUCAGAGCAUGUAAUUCAUUUUGGAAACCAUUGGGUGCCUUAGAGUUAGCUUUUUCUUCUAGCUUUUUCGAAAAGCACACAGCAAAAGCAGAUUGCGAGCGUGGUGCUGAUUGUGCAGACCGCUGCCCUAGGUCAUUAGCUGCACCAAUAGAACUAGAGUGAUGCCUCCCCAAUAAGGCACAUCCAUCUGUUCCCUUAUCGGAGUUUAGCAAUUUUCUCCUCUCAAAUUCAGCCUCGUACUUUUUUAUUGUUGUUUUCAGUUUCUCGCCCCCGUCAACUAAUCUAGGGCCUUUGGUGCUCAACAAACUUUUGAACCUGUUAAUUUUUUCAGUCAGUUCAUCAAUCCUUAGGUUUGAAAACUCGUCAUUUUGCUCUUCCCCGUCGUCUAUGCUAAUCAUCGGAGUUGCUUUAGUAGCGACCACCAACUCGGCCGGAGGCUUGUCGUCUAUUAGCGUACUCCAAUCAAUAACUAACCGUGCCAUUUAGAAUUUCAUUCAACUACAGCAACAUCGAGAGAUCAAAAACGAAAAUUCCACUCCAAAAGAGAGCAAGACGAAAGGAAAAGCUUCGACUCUGAGAGUAAAAGAGAGCUAUAACAUCGAUGCUGCUGCUAAACCAAGAAUACUAGACCGUAACCUACCCCAAAACACUGCAUUGGGG
rnacentral:misc_RNA from 1 species